AUACUUACCUUAAGACGCCAGGGGAGAUCAAGAAGUCCUACUGGUCGAGUAUGCACUUUCACUUAGAAGGAUACUAAGCAUUCGAAACCACUUCUGUGGCUUUUUUAAUUGAUGUAAGUUCCUUAGUCAAUGUUAACACAUACAUGCGAAAGGUGUACUUGCUGACGUUUCGUUUUCCUGUUCUAUGCGUGUGUUAUCUGUCUUUGAUGGAAAAAUGCACUCUUAGGGCCCUUUCUUUCUUCUGCCUGGAGAAGCAUGGUACCGAGUACAAAUCGGUGCUAGGAAAGCUGGAAUAUUUUAAAAUGUGAUCAAUAUUAUUUUAUUGUGUCAACUGAGUGUCGAGUGAUUGAAUGAAAUUGAUCCCGAUUGGAGUAAUCUUAUUGUGGAGGUUAAAUUUCAUUUUCAUGAUCUUUUGGCUUAGCAAGAUUUUGAUAAUAUGUCCUUUGGACAGUUAAUGUUGUUGCAAUACUUUUGAAAUGUUUUAGUAGAAACGGGUGGGUCUUACAAUUUUUGAUUUAUUUU
rnacentral:snRNA from 1 species